rnacentral:rRNA from 1 species
UACAGAGGGGGCAAGCGUUGUUCGGAAUUACUGGGCGUAAAGGCGCGUAGGCGGCCUUCUAAGUCGAACGUGAAAUCCCCGGGCUCAACCCGGGAACUGCGUCCGAUACUGGAAGGCUUGAAUCCGGGAGAGGGAUGCGGAAUUCCAGGUGUAGCGGUGAAAUGCGUAGAUAUCUGGAGGAAUACCGGUGGCGAAGGCGGCAUCCUGGACCGAGAUUGACACUGAUGAGCGAAAGCCAGGGAGCGAAACGGG